rnacentral:lncRNA from 1 species
AUUAAUAUUUUAAUGUAUUUCUGUUUCAUUUAUUUUAUAUGCAUAAUUUUUGUCAGUUAUUUAAUGGUCAUACUGCUUACAUACUUUUGAAAACAAUUUUUAAAAUUUAACAUUUCUAUGUAAGCAUUUUCUCAUGUUAUUAUGAAUUCUUAAUAAAUAUCAUUUUAAUGGCUGCUUAAUGUUCCAGCAAGUGGAUAUUCCAGAAUUUACUUAAUGAUCUCUUUAUUACCAGACAUUAACUGGUUUCUAAUUUUUUAGUAUUACAGAUAAUGUCAUGAUCAAUAUUUGGGGGCAUUUUCCACAUUUCAGAUUAUUUCCUUAGGCUAGAUUUACAGAAGUAGAAUUGCAGAGUCAAAAGGUAUGAAAACAUUCAACACUCUCAAGAAAUAUUGUCAUACUGCUUUAUAAAAGGGUUGGUGCAGUUUGCACUGCCGCUAGCAGCUAAUCGAGCAAAACUGCAAUGGGACUAAAAACAGUUUAUGGAGUUAGACCAGGGUUUCUCAACCUCAGCACAAUUGACCUUUUGUGCAGGAUAAUUCUUUGUUAUGGGAGGCUGUCGUACGUAUUGUAGUAAUGUUUAGCAGUAUCCCCGCUAUCUGUCCACUAGAAUUCAGUAGCAACCCUCAGUUAUGACAACAAAAAAUGUCUCCAGACAUUGCCACAUGCAUCCUUGGGGGCAAAAUCAUCCCUGGUUAAGACCUCAUGUGUUAGACAAACUUUAACUUUGACUUUCAUUUGAGCUCUACCACAUACUAGCAAGCCAAUGUGGGCAGGUUACUUGAUCUCUCUGGCUCAUCAUUUAUUCAUCGUAAACUGGGGAUGAUUACACUCAGCUCAGGAGUUGCUUGUGAAGAUAAGAUAGUGUAUGUAAGGUGUUUCAUACAAUGCUUGGAGCCUGGUAACAGCUAGUAACUAUUUGCAAUUAAGAUCAUGGUGGCAAUGCUGGAAGUGCCCUGUGAAAGGACCUGGCUUUUGUGUGAAUGAAGGAGAGGUGGGUUUAGUGAAUCACUGAUAUUCAUUCAUUUAUUUAUGCACUCAUUCAGUUAGUAUUUAUUGGGCCAUUACUACAUGCCAGGAAUUGUUCCAGGCACAAAGGAUACAGCAGUGUAUAAAAUACUGUCCUCAUGGAGCUUAUAUUCGAGUGGAGAGACAGGCAAUAAAUGAGAUUGGAAAAGUUAAUUAUAUGAUAUGUUAGGAAAGAGGAUAGAAAUUGUUUGGCAGGUGGGAGAGGUUGAAAUUUUAGAUAGGAUAGAUCUGGAAGUCUCUAUCGAAGAGGGACAAUUAAGACUUGACUUUGCCAUGUAGGCACUGAAGGGCAGUCCAGAUGGAGGGAAGAGCAAGUGCAAAGGCCCUGAAACAGAAAUGUGCCCAGAAUGUUCAAGGACUCACAGAUCUAACUUGGCUGAAGGCAAGGCUUCGGGGUCAAUAAGGAGAGCUGAUUGCAGGACUAUGCAUCACCAUCUGAUUACCUGGGUGUGCUUCAUGCUCUCGUGUGUGUGUGACAUUGUCAUGGAUGCAAUGUUCUCCUCAGAACAUGGAAUUCAACCUGCUGUCCUCUCUCAGUAACAAUAAUGAAGCUUUUAAAGCAUCCCUGAAAGAGUUAUCGUGGAAGGAUUUGCUAAAGGACCAAAGACAACUGCCAACCUCUUCAAAGGCAAUUUUCCUGCAUCAGUGUCACACAGCUGCUCUGGGAAGCAAUGCAGAAGGUUCCCUCCCUGAGUUCUCCGACCACAGUGGACGACUCCAGUGGCUUCAAGAAACAUCCAUGACAGUACUGGGGAUCAUUCGUUGGUUUCACAGUGUAGGGCCUGGUUUGUGAUUCUCUCUAAUGGCAGACCAGGCCUCUGGACCAGAAAUGGGGCCAUGGAAAGUGGCAUGAAAGGAUCUCAGCAACAGGAAUAAACAGAUUUGGUUCUAGCAGUGCUUGUUUCAUUAGAUAUUUCAACCUGCUUAAGUGGAGAAAUAGUAGACUUGAACCAAUUGAAAAAACCCAGAACGAUACACACCAAUUUGCUGAGUCCUGAAAAGAAUGCAAUUCCAAAUCUAUUCAUCUACCGAAACCAUGACCCAAACCAAUAUCACCACCAAACCUACCCACCCCACCAAACACACACUCUGAGAAGGGAGAGAGGAUGCGGAAUAAGGACCAAAGGAUUAAAGAAGAAUGUCAAAUAAUUCUGCAUAGUAAACCUGAACUAAAGUAAAAUUAUAUCAAUCCUCCUUUUCCCAUCAAAGACUGAGCAUUCUGGUUAAUGAAAUAAUUUAAGGUACAGUAAUUUGCUUUCACGGAAACACAAUUUUCCAACUUAUGAGUAACUUAUAUGUACAGUGGGAAUCAAAGUAUCCUUUUAGUCUUUAAUAAACCAAGCAUUAUAAUGAAGAUAGUGUCUAAACAGCUUUCUCCUUUUAGUGGUCCGCACCAAAGAAGAUAAAUAGAUGGGCUUAGCUACAGAAAGGCAGCCUCCACAGACAGGAGGUGAAUGCAUCCUUCUUCUGCAUGUGGUGCUGAGAAUUGGGAGGGCUUGCAAACUUCACCGGACAGGUGUAUCCUUCUUUUGCUCUUCACAGUUAAGGAUCUGGAACAUUCCAGCUCCUUGGCAGCAAGGAAGGUUACCAGAUGUAAAAGAACGCAAAGGGUAUCUCUGGAGGAGAAAAGUCUUUCAGGCUCUUGGGACUCUUUGGACCCUUGUUAGAAAUUGUGUGUACCCUACUCUCCUGGCCUGAGGAAGAACCGAUGCUUGGCGAAGGCUGAGGUUUAGAUGUAUGGCCACAGUGGCUUUGCAGCUCGUUUUCUGAACCAGUCCAAUUCGGAGGCAGAUCGAGAUUAAGCUCAAAGAGAAGAAUUUUAGGCAUGGGAUAAAACUUAAUUUUCCUGAUGAGAGAAAUGAGAGCUAAAGUGAGAAAGUGCUAAUGAAAGAUUCCAGGCAAAGAAGGCAGGGCCAGCUGCCAGUUUACAAACUGAGCUUGGCAGACAGACAGUGGAGCUCUGACAGGGAGUUUCUCUGUGCAUUUUAGAAGAAGGCAGAAUAGAUCUAAAUGCAGCCAACCUAUUGAUUUAUUCUCUUUGUACUGGACAUGGCUUUUUAUUAAAGAAAGCAGAUAUUCAAUAGUGUUAACUAGUAAUGGGAAUUGACUUUUCACUAAUUGCACAGACCUUGGCAUUAAUACACUUUAAUGGAACCUGGGCUCUGUGUCCCUCAGAUCAAUCCCGAAGUUUUUCUCUAACUCUUUCUGGUCAAAGGAUAUGAAUGGCAUUGUAACCGAGGAGACCUUUUUUAAUCUUUUUUUUUUUUUUAAUUCAUGGAAUGAAUAGGCUGAGGAACUUUCUUUUAUUCCAAGAGACCAGAGAGAGGGGUAGUUCUGUGACUUCUAAAAUACAUAGAAACUUUGUGGGUCUGAACUGACUUUGGAGCUUGGUGUUGGCAAUUUAAAAUUCAGUUGUGAAGGCUGGAAAAGAGUUUAGCUUCCCAUGCACCUGGCUGGGUCCUGCCCUUGCUGGAUUUUCUGAGGCAGACGAAUCACCACUUAUUUAUCAUUCAUUUGUUAGAUUUAUUAAAAGUAAAUAGGAUCCCUGACAGCUGCUGGGCUCAUAUGCAGACCUGGAGCCAAGGAUAUGAGAAUAUGGGUAGCCCUGGCAAACCUCUACAGCAGAAUCUGACCUCACCAAAGGGAAAGUAGCAUGGCAUACCAGAUCCUGCCAUGGACAAGGACAUUCCUGAAGGCCCCAGGAUGGCAAAUGUCCCAACUCCAGUUCUCCAGGAAUUAUUGUCAGAUUCUUUCUCCAGCCACAGAAUAUUAGGAGGAUCCUCUAAGACAAUGAUGCUUCAAAUCCAAAGCAUGAGACUUUGAGGUUCUCAGGGAGGAUGUUUGUCUCUUAUUAAUCUUUGAAUAUGACAAUUCCUGGAGUCAGGGCCAGACAAACCCGGUUUAAUUUAUAGUUUUACCUCUUUCUAGCUUGGUGGUAAUAAGUCAGUCUCUGUGAGCCUCUAUGUCUUCAUUUGCAAAAAAGAAAGAAAGAAAAUAGAAACACAUGAUUCAAAGGGUUGUUGAGGGAUUCAAAUAAAAUACUGUAUGUAAAGCUUUUAGCUCAUUGAGGGCUCCUUCAGUGAAUGGUAGUUAUGAUUAUCAUCAUCUUUGAAUCCUUCGCACUUAGACAUUGGGCAUUUUGUAAAUGUAAGUUCAGUGAAUGGGUUCAUUCUUUGAUUCAACUAAUUUUGUGCCUGUUACAUGCCAAGCACUAUUCUGCAGUGCACAGACACACCUCCUGACCUCAUGGAGUGUACAGUUUGGUGGGAAUACAGGAACAGAGAAGUAAAUGAAUGGAUAAACUGUCUGAAAUUUAAUUUUGGAUAGUAAUAAGUUCCAUGAAAGAUAUUAAGCAAGAUAAGAGGAUCGAAAGUGAUUUUGUAUAUGUUUGUGUGACAGAGAGAGAGAGAAAAAGAAGAAAGAAAGAAAAGAAAGAAAGAGAAAGAAAGAAGAAAGAGUAUAGCAAGUGAAGGUCUAUGGGUGAGACAAAUGAAUAAAUAUAAACAGAGAUUUCUUCAGGUACUUAUAAUGCAUCUGCCCUACUUGUUUUAAUACCUUUGGCCAAGUGUUCACUCAACAACAUAUCUCUGUACUUGAUGAACUCUUGUGCUGUAGUUUCUCUUUACCUAGUGAGGUGAGAUAACUCCCAUUAGGUGAGUGUCUUUAUUUGUUUUCAUCCUUGACCUUGGGUCCUUUUUCCUAAAGUGUCCCCCACCUCCAUCCCAGGACUUCAUCUCAAAAAUAAACAUAAAAGGCAGGAAAAUGCCUCCCUUUUCAUAUCUGACUUCUGUACUUCCAGGCUUGCCUUCCAGAAGUGGACAGCCAUGGAUUCAAGAUGUGUCAAAAUUGGAAGGAGCUUUGUUUCUAUUUGGCCCUGAAAAGUGUUCCACAACUGGACUGCCAUAUUGAAUUAUUUUCAGCAGUAGAAAUUCUUCGAUGGCCCAUUUCAGACCAGCCUCUAAUUUGAAAGUAAUAACAUUUGGGCAAAGCUUAGAUGCACUAAGUUGCUGCCGAGGGCUUGGUGGGCUUUGAGGUAAUUGGUUUUACUCAGUUGCUGAUGCUUCACUUGGACAAAUGAGAAAUCAAACUACAGCUCAGUUUGCAGAAAAGCCCGUGUCAGCAGUUUAGUCUGACUACUAUUUCAGAGCUUGUUAUAUUAUUGGCAAUAAAAUGCAACUAAUAUACUGUUAAUUAAUAUUGCAUCCUACAGCUAAUUUAUCACAUUAUUAAUCAGAGUGAUAAAGCCAAGGAAAAUGCAGCUUACCUUUAGUGUCCUUUCAUCUCUUUUAAACACUUGUAUUUACGCACAAAUAGGUGUUUUGGUCAACAUUGUCAAGUGUUUGGGUGGUCCUGGAUGAGUGUAUUUUAUUUGCAAACAGUAACUUCCCCCUCAGGAAUAUUUUAUUUAGCAAGACAGGACUUAAAGUGAAAGGGUAACCAUUUCUGAUCGUAACCUUGGCUUUGUGCUUCUAGUAAUUAUCCUUUAAUUUCAUUACCCUAUUUGAAAUAGAGUUGUAAUUGGAAAAAAACAAUUUGACAUUCCCUGAUGCUUACUCUGACAUGCACUAUUUGCUUUUUAUUCAAAUGUAAAUUUUCACCAUAAUACUAUCAAAGAAAGAAAAAAAAUUAAGCAAAAUUGAAAUGUCAGUUGCAAUUUCUGACAUGCAGGCAGUGUCAUUCACUGGUUUUGUCUGGAAGGCAAGACUUUCACUUCAGAUGGAAAAAAAAAAUCAAACUGAAAUUAGUAUGCUUUGAGGAGAGGGAGAGAUGGAUGGCAGAAUCACAGAUCUAUUCCUUUGGGAUAUGUGUCCACUUUGCACAGUGGCUUCAAAAUAUCAAACAAGCAUCCAGCUAUGAUUUUUGGAUGAAUAAUCCUUUAUGCUUAAUAUAAAAAACACUUUUCCUUAAAAACUGAAAAAUCAUAAACUUACCUCUAUUUUACCCUAGGCAUCUUGAAGGUGUAAUUUUCAUUUGGAGCAUGUGUUAGGCAGUCUCUAAAAUGGCUACAAUGAUUUCUGUCUCCUGAUAUCACACUCUUAUAAACUCUUCUCUUUUGGUUGUGGGCUAGACAUUUUGACUUGCUUCUAAUAAAUAGAACACAGCAAAAGUAAUGGCAUGUCACUCCCAAGAUUAGAUUAUACAAAGUACUGUGGCUUCUGCUUUGGGCUUCCCUGUUUUGCUUUCUCACAUGUUCACCCUGAGGGAGAUCAGCCUCCAUGUUGUGAGCAGCCCUAUGGAGAGGCCUUGUGGUAACUGAGGGAGGUCUCUGGCCGGUAACCAGUUGAGAAUUGAGGCCUUUGGCCCAUUAACCCAUGAGGAGCUGAAUCUUGCCAACAGUUUGGAAGUGAAUCAUCUUUCAGUUGAACCUUCAGAUGAGCCCACAGCCCCAGCUGACACCUAACUAUUACCUCAUGAGAGAACUUCAGCCAGAGGCACCCAGCUAAGUGGCAGCUGGAUUCCUGACCAAUAGAAAUUGUGAGGUAAUAAGUGCUUGUUCUUUCAAGCUGCUCAGUUUUGGGGUAAUUUAUUAUAUGGCAAUAAAUAAUUAAUAUAGGGUAGGAGAGAACAAAUAUUAAACUAAUAAUUCUAGAUAAGUUUGGCUUGUCACAUAGGCAGGAAAAAAACAUAAACAAUG